CAGACCUACCACUGGUUUUCCUGUGUGACACCCGAGGCACACACUAUACUGAUGCUAAAUUUACAAGAGAAUGCCACUAGAUCAUGGUGCCAUCUUGCAGAGUUCAGCACCUAAAAGUGUAAUGGGCACUAUAGAGAAGAAAUACACGAUACUGCGCUGAAGAGCUUGCAGUCUAAGGCCUGGAUUCUGCAAAUGCUUAUGCACAUGUACAGCUUUACGUGGUAGGAAUCCUGCCCAGCUCCUGUGAGAGAGUGAGGAGGCUGAAAAGCACCCUCCUCGCAGUACAAACAGCAAUCCCCUCCACCGGCAGAUCACCAGCACAGGCCACAAGGAACUUUCACCACCUCCUAACAUCAUCAUUUUCACAACCCUGAGACUUGGGUUGAGGCAGAACAGUGACAUCAAUAGGGCUACUAAAGGAAUGGUUUAUAUCUCCCAAGAUUUAUAGAAGAAUUCAUAAAUUGGCAUCUCUGAACUGAUGCAACAAGUCCAGAGGUGCCAGGGCUAUGAAGUGCUACAGGAAAAUAAACUUCUUGAAGGACUGAACUGACAUUGGGAAACAUUUAUGUGUUUC